rnacentral:misc_RNA from 1 species
UAAUAAGUGUUUUAUGGCACUUUUUAAAUCCAUAUCCACCUUGUGUGCAAUGUUCAGUCGAUCUUCUUCAUGGAGAUCGACCAAACAUCAACCUUUAUCUUUUAACUCUUUGUCUGAAAAAUAUUAUGAAUAACAAUUCAAAAUA